GUACGCAAGUACGGGCUUUUUUUUCGCAUGUGGCACCCACCGGGGGGGAUGAGAACCCCCGACCGGGGUUCGAAUCCCCCCCUCACCGCCA
rnacentral:tRNA from 1 species